AUUGAACGCUGGCGGCAUGCCUUACACAUGCAAGUCGAACGGUAACAGGUUAAGCUGACGAGUGGCGAACGGGUGAGUAAUGUAUCGGAACGUGCCCAGUCGUGGGGGAUAACUACUCGAAAGAGUGGCUAAUACCGCAUACGACCUGAGGGUGAAAGCGGGGGACCGUAAGGCCUCGCGCGAUUGGAGCGGCCGAUAUCAGAUUAGCUAGUUGGUGGGGUAAAAGCCCACCAAGGCGACGAUCUGUAGCUGGUCUGAGAGGACGACCAGCCACACUGGGACUGAGACACGGCCCAGACUCCUACGGGAGGCAGCAGUGGGGAAUUUUGGACAAUGGACGCAAGUCUGAUCCAGCCAUGCCGCGUGCGGGAAGAAGGCCUUCGGGUUGUAAACUGCUUUUGUACGGAGCGAAACGGCUUCCACUAAUACUGGGGGCUAAUGACGGUACCGUAAGAAUAAGCACCGGCUAACUACGUGCCAGCAGCCGCCGUAAAAC
rnacentral:rRNA from 1 species